AAUAAGUGCAGUUUUAUAUCGAUAAUGUCCAACAUUUGACCGUUUGUCUUAUUUAAAAAUUUUUUAUGAUUAAUAUUUUUAUUGUUACUAGAUAAUAAAAUAUGAAUAAUACUUUGUGUAACUAAUUAUUUUUAAUUUUUUCAUAAAUUUUUCAAAUAAUACAGAUAGUCAAACGUUGGACACGGAUACCAAUGGCUGUAAUUAUU
rfam:Oryza glumipatula chromosome 7, whole genome shotgun sequence.